rnacentral:snoRNA from 1 species
UGUAAAUGAUGGUCCAAUAGAUCCUUCUGACCCUUCCAUUGUUCUGUACUCAAGGAAUGGGAUCUGAGGAGACAACCUAAACUGAUACA